UAGGAACUGGAUAAAGACUUUAAACAAGUU
rnacentral:piRNA from 1 species